CCUACGUGAGGCAGCAGUGGGGAAUAUUGCACAAUGGGGGAAACCCUGAUGCAGCGACGCCGCGUGAGUGAAGCAGUAAUUCGUUAUGUAAAGCUCUAUUCGCCGGGAAGCAAAUGCCGGUACCUGAGUCAGAAGCACCGGCUAACUACGUGCCAGCAGCCGCGGUAAGACGUAGGGGGCAAGGGUUAUCCUGAUUUACUGGGGGUAAAGGGAGCGGAGACGGCAGUGCAAGUCUGGAGUGAAAGGCGGGGGCUCAACCCCCGGACUGCUCUGGAAACUGGACGGCUGGAGUGCAGGAGAGGUAAGUGGAAUUCCUAGUGUAGCGGUGAAAUGCUUAGAUAUUAGGAAGAACACCAGUGGCGAAGGCGGCUUACUGGACUGUAACUGACGUUGAGGCUCGAAAGCGUGGGUAGCAAACAGGAUUAGAUACCCGUGUAGUC
rnacentral:rRNA from 1 species